ACGGGUGAGUAACACGUGAGUAACCUGCCCCUGACUCUGGGAUAACUACCGGAAACGGUGGCUAAUACCGGAUAUGAGGUGCCUGGGCAUCUGGGCGCCUGGAAAGUUUUUCGGUCAGGGAUGGGCUCGCGGCCUAUCAGCUUGUUGGUGGGGUGAUGGCCUACCAAGGCGACGACGGGUAGCCGGCCCGAGAGGGCGACCGGCCACACUGGGACUGAGACACGGCCCAGACUCCUACGGGAGGCAGCAGUGGGGAAUAUUGCACAAUGGGCGCAAGCCUGAUGCAGCGACGCCGCGUGCGGGAUGACGGCCUUCGGGUUGUAAACCGCUUUCAGCAGGGAAGAAGCGCAAGUGACGGUACCUGCAGAAGAAGCGCCGGCUAACUACGUGCCAGCAGCCGCGGUAAUACGUAGGGCGCAAGCGUUGUCCGGAAUUAUUGGGCGUAAAGAGCUCGUAGGCGGUUUGUCGCGUCUGCUGUGAAAUCCUCAGGCUCAACCUGGGGCUUGCAGUGGGUACGGGCAGACUAGAGUGCGGUAGGGGUGACUGGAAUUCCUGGU
rnacentral:rRNA from 1 species